AAUUUGUAAUUAGAACACCCAAUCCCAUGUUGAUAGCAACCUUGUAAAAAGUUAAUUCUAGGCAAUUAUACUUAUUUUAUCAACACAUCAUCAUCACUAAGGCAUAAGGUAAAAGCAUCCAACAGUGCAAGUAGAACAAACUAAUAUAUAUAUGUAAAGAAGCCUUGGGCCCCUAAUAUGCAUGCCGUAAUGCCAAGGUGACCCUUAAGGGUGCAUCACAAGGAAGAAGCCUGGCCUGAGACCAUUAGGGGCAAGACACAAUAUUGACAUUUAUGAUUUAACCAAUUGACUACAAGAUCUUCACAAGGAACAGAUUUCUGGCAGCACAGUUCCCUGUACUAUAAGCAGUUUGAAAACAAGGGGCUGAAAUAGUAUAUACUCUGCUGUACGUUAAAAGGUUCAGGUAAUAUUCAACAAAAGCCUGAUGAUAAGUCCAAGUGACGAACACAAUCUUUGGUGCCCGCAAUUUGCCAUUGGCCAUGGACAAAAUUAUAUGCACAAGAAAGUCUCAAUCAUCAACUGAAAUGCAGUAAAACAAAGGUAAGUCCUCCCAAAGCAGGGUGUCAUCAUGAUUUUUAUCACAUCUUUCCCCAUAAAAAGCUAUGCUAGCAAAGCCAAAAUGAAGUUGUGGGAGAGAUGAUCUAAGAACAGCUUUUGAUGAAGUGGCUGCUCUUGGCAAUUCCACUCAGCAGCCAAAGGAUUCCGCUUUUUUGGCCCUUUUUUUCUACUUUUUAAUAUGUGGCAUAUAUCUUAUGUAAAAAU
rnacentral:misc_RNA from 1 species